GGUAUCGUGCAGCAGUUUUUGGUGUUACUGACGACCAGCUCUGACGAGAGUCUUCGGUUUCUUAGCUUCAGGCUGGACUUUAACGAGCAUUACAAAGCCAGGGAGCCCAGGCUCCGCGUGUCUCUGGGUACCAGGGGGCGGCGCAGCUCCCACACGUGAAGCUCGCGGUCCUCCCAGGGAGCUGCGGGUGAUGUUCGUUGCACUGCUAGACACGAAAUUCCCAUCGACGUCCUGCAGGAACUGCAUGCUGCAGGUGUCCUGCCCUUCCGCCCACGAGUGCGCCAUGUUUCAGCGGAGCGGCGUGUGGGAGAAGCCACGUCGUGUUGCACACGUCGGAGUCGAAUGCAUUUGUAAAUCACUAAGUCAGUAGAGAUCAGAACAGGACAAAUUCUUGUCCUUUCAUGUACCUCCAACUGACGUCAACUUGUAGAAACAGCACUGAAGAUGGUCUGAAUGGGAACUAUUACAACACUGGGAGAAAUAGAAGAUAAUCUUAUUAUCGGGGAAAUAGUUACUACAGCCACACCAGCGUACAAUAAACUCAGGACUUCAGUGAAGCACAUGGAAUGGAUGACAUUGUCGUGGUCAUUCUUGGAAAUUACAAUCUGAAACUGAAGCAUAUGCAAAAUGCACCUGAAAAUUCAGACAUCUGUGCCUUGUAAGGAAAGGAGACACCACAGAUCACCCUUUGGGAGAAUGAAGAAUUUUUCCCUCAUCUUUGAAGUUCAAUAAUUUAAUACAUUUUCCAGACCAUGAAUCAUCAGGGAAAUGCAACUUUAAAAAAAUGAGAUGCUCUAUGCACACAUUGUAGCAGCCAAAAUUCAAAAGACGGACAGCACUAAACCCUAGUGAGGAUACAGAACAAGGAAAACUCUCAUAUCCUGUGGUGGGAAUGUGCAAUGAUACGGCUACUUUGGAAAACUGUUUAGCGGUUCUGUGAAAACUUAAUCAUACACCUGCCAUGACUCAGCCUUCCCACUUUCAUGUAUUUCGCCAAGAGAAGGAAAAACUUACGUCCACAAAAAGACUUGUGAUAAAGGCUUAUAGCAGCUUCGUUCAAAAUAGCCAACACUGGUGGGAGGAAAUCAGUGGUAAUUGGAUAAGCAGGAUAUAUUACCUCCAGGCAAUGGAACACAAUUUACCAAUAAAAAUAAAUCACUGGAGGGCGAUGUCUUCCUGCGUGGGGUGGGUUGAUUCCGGAGCUCUCUGAGGUCCCCAGCGCCGCACCCCUGCCGCUUCAUCUCGCAGGGCACACGAGCAGCCCCAGCAGCUCCACGCUCCCAUGCGCCCCAGCAGGUUCUGGUCCUCUCCGCUGGGACAGAUUAGGACCCUUGGAGGCCACGGCCCUGAUGCGCCAGCCCGGGCUGGCGCUGGAGACCGGGGCGCCCUUGGCAGGACGGGGAGGCGGGUCACGGUUGAUUUCUGGUUUCCCUGUGACCUGAGCAGGUUUGCACACAGUGGAAAGCGCUGCGUUUCUUUUCUUUUUUUUUAUUAUUAUACUUUAAAUUUUAGAGUACAUGUGCACAUUGUGCAGGUUAGUUACAUAUGUAUACAUGUGCCAUGCUGGUGCACUGCACCCACUAACUCGUCAUCUAGCAUUAGGUAUAUCUCCCAAUGCUAUCCCUCCCCCCUCCCCCCAUCCCACAGCAGUCUCUAGAGUGUGAUAUUUCCCUUCCUGUGUCCAUGUGAUCUCAUCGUUCAAUUCCCACCUAUGAGUGAGAAUAUGCGGUGUUUGGUUUUUUGUUCUUGCGAUGGUUUACUGAGAAUGAUGUUUUCCAAUUUCAUCCAUGUCCCUACAAAGGACAUGAACUCAUCAUUUUUUAUGGCUGCAUAGUAUUCCAUGGUGUAUAUGUGCCACAUUUUCUUAAUCCAGUCUAUCAUUGUUGGACAUUUGUGUUGGUUCCAAGUCUUUGCUAUUGUGAAUAAUGCCGCAAUAAACAUACGUGUGCAUGUGUCUU